UACAGAGGGGGCAAGCGUUGUUCGGAAUUACUGGGCGUAAAGGGCGCGUAGGCGGCCUGCUAAGUCGAACGUGAAAUCCCUGGGCUCAACCCAGGAACUGCGUCCGAUACUGGUUGGCUUGAAUCCGGGAGAGGGAUGCGGAAUUCCCGGUGUAGCGGUGAAAUGCGCAGAUAGUCGGGAAGAACACCCGUGGCGAAGGCGGUUCUCUGGGACGGUACUGACGCUGAGACGCGAAAGCGUGGGGAGCGAACAGG
rnacentral:rRNA from 1 species